GUCUUCUAAAACCUACAUCACAGCCAAAAAGCCCUGCAUGUUAAACUUACCUUCAGAGUGACUUCUAUAGUGUGUUCAGAAGUAUACAGGAAGUAUUCAGCCAAGACUAGGGCCUCACUCAGCACUAGGCACAGAGGUACUGAAUUAUAAGUUUUGGGUGCCUAUUAACGUAUACAUUUUUUGAAACCCGGCAGUUAAGUUUCUAUUCCACGAAAACGCCCAGUAUUUUUUGUGAUUAUGUUGUAUGAAGUCUAGAGUGAACUACGAGACUAUAGUGACUGAGAACCAAAUAUUAGUCUUCCAAAAAUAAUACGAAGCAAGAACCAAAGUAAAAAUCAGGAAUAAAGUCACAAAAGAAGCAUCUGUCGGGCGCUGUCAUCAUAGCUGUAAUCCCAGCACUUAGGGAUGCAGAGGGGGGAGAAUGGCUUGAGGCCAGGAGUUUGACCAGCCUGGGCAACAUAGUGAGACCCUGUUCUCUACCAGCACAAAGGAAAGAAAAAAAAAACAGCAGCAGCAGCAUCAGCUUAACACAGCAGCCACAAAGGUCCACCCUGUCAUCCCUGCUAUGUGGCUGGAGGAUCAGGUGUGUUUCCUUUUGAAGCUUAUGCUACAGCAGUGUAAGACCCAGUAUGAGCUGGGGAAGCUUUUACAGCUCUUUGUUGAAAGAGAGCAUCUCUUCUCUGAUGGUCCAGAUGUUAAAAAGCUUUGCGUCCUUUGCCAGAUUUUGAAGGAUACAUCCAUAGCCAUUAAUCAUACAAUUAUUACCAGCUACAGCAUUGAGAAUUUUCAGCAUGAAUGUAGAUCUAUUUUGGAAAAACUGCAGACAGAUGGACAAUUCGCUUUGGCCAGGAGGGUAGCAGAAUUAGCUGAGUUACCUGUGGACGA
rnacentral:sRNA from 1 species